rnacentral:rRNA from 1 species
CAGACUGACCUCCGCUUCCAGAACCAUGUGGUGCUGGCCCUUCAGGAGGCUGCAGAGGCCUACCUGGUGGGUCUCUUCGAGGACACCAACCUGUGCACCAUCCAUGCUAAGCGCGUGACCAUCAUGCCCAAGGACAUUUAG